rnacentral:rRNA from 1 species
AGUGAACGCUGGCGGUAGGCCUAACACAUGCAAGUCGAACGGCAGCACAGUAAGAGCUUGCUCUUACGGGUGGCGAGUGGCGGACGGGUGAGGAAUACAUCGGAAUCUACUUUUUCGUGGGGGAUAACGUAGGGAAACUUACGCUAAUACCGCAUACGACCUACGGGUGAAAGCAGGGGAUCUUCGGACCUUGCGCGAUUGAAUGAGCCGAUGUCGGAUUAGCUAGUUGGCGGGGUAAAGGCCCACCAAGGCGACGAUCCGUAGCUGGUCUGAGAGGAUGAUUCGCCAAACUGGAACCUAGAACAGGUUCCAGAUCCCACGGGGGGGAGGAGGUGGGAAUUAUGGGAAAAGGGGGGAAACCUGAUCCAGCCCAACCGGGGGGGGGAAAAAGGGCUUCGGGUUGGAAAGCCCUUUUUUUGGGAAAAAAAAAGAGGCAGUUAACAACCCGCUGUUCUGACGGUACCCAAAGAAUAAGCACCGGCUAACUUCGUG